rnacentral:rRNA from 1 species
AAUGAACGUUGGCGGCGUGGAUUAGGCAUGCAAGUCGAGCGCGAACCGUAGCAAUACGGGGAAAGCGGCGAAAGGGACAGUAAUGGGUAGAUCAUCUGCCCUUGGGACCGGGAUAGCUGCGGGAAACUGCAGGUAAUACCGGAUAACAUCUCCGGAUCAAAGGUGUGAUUCCGCCCGAGGAUGAGUCUGCCUCCUAUUAGCUUGUUGGUGGGUAACGGCCUACCAAGGCAUCGAUGGGUAGCGGGUGUGAGAGCACGACCCGCGUCAUUGGGACUGAGACACUGCCCAGACACCUACGGGUGGCUGCAGUCGAGAAUCUUCGGCAAUGGGCGCAAGCCUGACCGAGCGACACCGCGUGUGGGAUGAAGGCC